rnacentral:tRNA from 1 species
GGUCCGUUUCGACGGGCAGGUCGCAGGGCUUGAGGCCCUGGUGCGCUGGGUGCACCCGGAGCGCGGCCGGGUCCCCCCGGACGAGUUC